AGAGUUUGAUCAUGGCUCAGGACGAACGCUGGCGGUGCGCCUAAUACAUGCAAGUCGAACGGUGAACGGGGCUUCGGCCCCCGGAUCAGUGGCGAACGGGUGCGUAACACGUGGGCAACCUGCCCCAGACCCUGGGAUACCCCCGGGAAACCGGAGCUAAUACCGGAUACUCCGACCGAACCGCAUGGCUCGGUCGGGAAAGGUCCGCCGGUCUGGGAUGGGCCCGCGGCCUAUCAGCUUGUUGGUGAGGUAACGGCUCACCAAGGCGACGACGGGUAGCUGGUCUGAGAGGACGACCAGCCACACUGGGACUGAGAUACGGCCCAGACUCCUACGGGAGGCAACAGUAGGGAAUCUUGCGCAAUGGGCGAAAGCCUGACGCAGCGACACCGCGUGAGGGAUGAAGGCCUUCGGGUCGUAAACCUCUUUCGGCAGGAACGAAGCGAUCGUGACGGUACCUGCAGAAGAAGCCUCGGCUAACUACGUGCCAGCAGCCGCGGUAAGACGUAGGAGGCGAGCGUUGUCCGGAUUCAUUGGGCGUAAAGAGCGCGUAGGCGGCUUGGUAAGUCGGAUGUGAAAACCCGAGGCUCAACCUCGGGCGUGCACCCGAUACUGCCCGGCUAGAGGUAGGUAGGGGAGAUCGGAAUUCCUGGUGUAGCGGUGAAAUGCGCAGAUAUCAGGAGGAACACCGGUGGCGAAGGCGGAUCUCUGGGCCUUACCUGACGCUCAGGCGCGAAAGCUAGGGGAGCGAACAGGAUUAGAUACCCUGGUAGUCCUAGCCGUAAACGUUGGGUGCUAGGUGUGGGCGGAUAUCGACCCCGUCCGUGCCGAAGCUAACGCAUUAAGUACCCCGCCUGGGGAGUACGGCCGCAAGGCUAAAACUCAAAGGAAUUGACGGGGGCCUGCACAAGCGGCGGAGCAUGUGGAUUAAUUCGAUGCAACGCGAAGAACCUUACCUGGGUUUGACAUGCACAGGACGUGCCUAGAGAUAGGUAUUCCCUUGUGGCCUGUGUGCAGGUGGUGCAUGGCUGUCGUCAGCUCGUGUCGUGAGAUGUUGGGUUAAGUCCCGCAACGAGCGCAACCCUUGUCUCAUGUUGCCAGCGCGUUAUGGCGGGGACUCGUGAGAGACUGCCGGGGUCAACUCGGAGGAAGGUGGGGAUGACGUCAAGUCAUCAUGCCCCUUAUGUCCAGGGCUUCACACAUGCUACAAUGGCCGGUACAAAGGGCUGCGAUGCCGUGAGGUGGAGCGAAUCCUUUCAAAGCCGGUCUCAGUUCGGAUCGGGGUCUGCAACUCGACCCCGUGAAGUCGGAGUCGCUAGUAAUCGCAGAUCAGCAACGCUGCGGUGAAUACGUUCCCGGGCCUUGUACACACCGCCCGUCACGUCAUGAAAGUCGGUAACACCCGAAGCCGGUGGCCUAACCCGUAAGGGGGGGAGCCGUCGAAGGUGGGAUCGGCGAUUGGGACGAAGUCGUAACAAGGUA
rnacentral:rRNA from 1 species